UUCCUAAAUAAAGGGGUGCCAAAUCUAAAAUUAAACCCUAAUGUACUUCUAUAGUUACUACUAUAAAUACAUAGCAUGACACCCCUAUAUCUAUUGCUAAACAAAGUUUAAAAAAAUGGAUCCAGAUCGGAAUUCAAUUGUUGCGAAAAACCAAGUAUGCGAGAUCGAAAAUUCUAAAGUCAGUUCUGUUAUAUCGCAGCAGUGAAUAAUUGUUUUCUUUUAUUUACUUUUAUGUGAAUGUUAACUUAUUUGAUUUUUCAGAUUCAGUUGCUUGAUGAACAUUCCAAUUUAAACAACCCAUUUGUCUAACAAGCUUCUAAGGAUGAUGGCGAUAAAAGUGUUGAUAUUAUUUCUUAUGGUGCAAUGUUUAGUCCAUACAAGUCUAAUCUUCAACGUGAAUUUAGUAAAGAUGUAAUUUUAAGGUUUAUUUAAUCUUUUUUUUUUAACUUUUGUAUUCAAUUUUUGUCCUUUUUAAAGAUCAGAAGUUUAAGACUCAAAUGAAUGGAAAUGGAGUGAGGUUAUUAAUUUAGACAAUUCUGAGGACAAUGACAAAGAAGAGGAAUUAUAAGAUACUGCCGAUUCAAGCACAUACCAGAAAACCCGAUUAAAAAUAUCUCGAGUGUCAAUUCAGAAGUGGAACAGAUUUCAUGCAGUCUAAUAUGAAAUCUAUCAAGUGUUUUUAUGUUUUUUUUUUAUUUUCAGUUGUUAUGUUUGAUCUAGACGUAUCAAUAAAGUUAUUUUAUAUUUAAACUUUA